GUGUUCUCUUUGGUAGCACAUACACUAAAAUAGGAACAACAGAAGAUCAGCAUGGCCCCUGUGCAAGGUUGACACGCAAAUUUGUGAAGAGUUCCAUAUUCUU
ensembl:snRNA U6 U6 spliceosomal RNA